UUGGAAAAUGUCCAAUUUAUAGGGGAGACUCUGCCGAAAUUUCGGCAGGAAGUCUCGGUCUUUAGUGAUUGGGUUUGACAUCGGAGUGAUGUCAGGAAUUCCAAAGGGUUCGUCUCGGGUUUUGAGAAAAUUCGGGGCGGAUCCUUAAAAAAGUAAAGGAAAGUUUCUACAGAGUGGACAUGUCACAUCCCGGAUCGCUUCGCCGUAUCACGAUAUUAUCCGCUUUGGGCUCCCCUCUCUGCCCUCACGGUUUUGUUUCUGGGAACUCACGAGCAACUUCCCAGUGGGUCACCUAUCCUAGGAUUGUUCUAGCCCCCAACUAGCUUAACGUCGGAGUUCCCAUGACUCCUGAAGCCAGUGCACUCCCAAAAGGCCUCAUGCUAGAUGGAGACAGGUAUGUACAUAUAAGGCACAUCACCCCUUCUCCGUUGGUCAAUGUGGGAUGUUACAGGACAGCCGCGAUGCCUCGAGGUGGUGGUCUAGACCUCAGAUAUCUAGGACCCAAGGGCACAAAACAGAAGAUGUGAGUGGACGAAAACAAAGCGUUCAACAAACUUUGUUUUCAACAUAAAUAACCUUAUCUGUUUUAUAAAAUACUGUCAAAAUACUAUACAACAAAGUUCUUUUGUAUACGUACAUAUUUGCCAAUAGAUGCUUGAAAAUAAU
rnacentral:lncRNA from 1 species